rnacentral:rRNA from 1 species
AAUCAACGCUGGCGGCGUGCCUAACACAUGCAAGUCGAGCGGUAAGGCCCUUUCGGGGGUACACGAGCGGCGAACGGGUGAGUAACACGUGGGUGACCUGCCCUCAGCUCUGGGAUAAGCCUGGGAAACCGGGUCUAAUACUGGAUAUGACUCCAUGACGCAUGUUGUGGGGUGGAAAGCCUUGUGCGGCUGAGGAUGGGCCCGCGGCCUAUCAGCUUGUUGGUGGGGUGAUGGCCUACCAAGGCGACGACGGGUAGCCGGCCUGAGAGGGCGACCGGCCACACUGGGACUGAGACACGGCCCAGACUCCUACGGGAGGCAGCAGUGGGGAAUCUUGCGCAAUGGGCGAAAGCCUGACGCAGCGACGCCGCGUGAGGGAUGACGGCCU